rnacentral:rRNA from 1 species
AACGAACGCUGGCGGCAUGCCUAACACAUGCAAGUCGAACGAACCCUUUGGGGUUAGUGGCGCACGGGUGCGCAACGCGUGGGAAUCUGCCCUUGGCUUCAGAAUAACAGUUAGAAAUGACUGCUAAUACCGGAUGAUGUCUUCGGACCAAAGAUUUAUCGGCCAGGGAUGAGCCCGCGUAGGAUUAGGUAGUUGGUGGGGUAAAGGCCUACCAAGCCGACGAUCCUUAGCUGGUCUGAGAGGAUGAUCAGCCACACUGGGACUGAGACACGGCCCAGACUCCUACGGGAGGCAGCAGUGGGGAAUAUUGGACAAUGGGCGCAAGCCUGAUCCAGCAAUGCCGCGUGAGUGAUGAAGGCCUUAGGGUCGUAAAGCUCUUUUACCCGGGAUGAUAAUGACAGUACCGGGAGAAUAAGCUCCGGCUAACUCCGUGCCAGCCGCCGCGGUAA